CGCGAUUCGCCCUUCGGGGCGCAGCAGGCGCGAAACCUUAGCAAUGUGCGAAAGCACGACUGGGUCAGUCCGAGUGAUUCCUGAUAAAGGAGUCUUUUGCCUGUCCUAAAAGCACAGGUGAAUAAGGGGUGGGCAAGUCUGGUGUCAGCCGCCGCGGUAAUACCAGCACCUCGAGUGGUCAGGACGUUUAUUGGGCCUAAAGCAUCCGUAGCCGGCUCUGCAAGUCUUCGGUUAAAUCCACCUGCUCAACAGAUGGGCCGCUGGAGAUACUACAGAGCUAGGGAGUGGGAGAGGCAGACGGUAUUCAGUGGGUAGGGGUAAAAUCCUCUGAUCCAUUGAGGACCACCAGUGGCGAAGGCGGUCUGCCAGAACACGUUCGACGGUGAGGGAUGAAAGCUGGGGGAGCAAACCGGAUUAGAUACCCGGGUAGUCCCAGCUGUAAACGAUGCAAACUCGGUGAUGCAUUGGCUUAUGGCCAAUGCAGUGCCGCAGGGAAGCCGUUAAGUUUGCCGCCUGGGAAGUACGGACGCAAGUCUGAAACUUAAAGGAAUUGGCGGGGGAGCAC
rnacentral:rRNA from 1 species